CACAGUACAUGUUUUAGAGCGAAUGAAUGAAUAAAUAGUGUUAUACUGGGGAUCAUAAGAUCUUUUAUUUAUUUAUUUUUUGUCAUUAUUUCAUCAAGAAAGUCACUUAACAUCCCUUAGCCCCAGUCUCACCAUCUCUAAAGUGGAGAAGUCAGGCUACAUGGUCUGGAAGCUCUAAGAAAGCAUGGUUUGAUGACUAGAAUAACUCUUUUUUUUUUUUUAAAGGAAGCAUGAUACAUAUCUAUGGUAUCAGAAUCCACUCCUCAAGUUAUACUGCUUGACAGCUUGGUUGCCUGCAUAAUAGCAAGAAGCCAUGGGCCUGAACAGCAUCACAUGAGUAAAGUUAGCUGCAAGAAGAACUUCCACAAAUGGAAAGGGCAAGAACAAGUCCCAAGACUUCAUCUCCCGAGGGGUGCUUAGGAAUACAGACAGACGAAAGGCUACAGAGUUGUUCUUUGGCUAUACAAGACACCAUCUUGUUCUCCAAGAAAGAAGGCCAACUUCUUUUCUGGAACCCAGCAAGUCACCCUGCAGCCGUAAACUAUUGAAUGGUUCCUCUUAAGUGGAGAUGGUAAACAGAACCCUGUAUGGACUGUCAACAGCCUCCCUAUACACCUUGGUGUGCAGAGCUGGUUGCUGAGACAUAGGUGGGUAAAUCUAUUUAGGAGCCAAAGAGCCUUCUGGGUGGACCUGUUUAUUUUACUCUGAUAGAUUUAGAAGUUUGGGACAGCAAUGUCACCAAGAGGAACUCAAGAUAAGGCAGUUAGGACUGAUGUCGCAGGCUCAAUGCAAAGGCUGAGCGCAGAAGAGGCUGGCUGGGCACAGCUGCUGUUAAUGCAGGAAGCCCCUUCUGCCACACCAGCCCAUGAGAAUCUUGCUUUAGGAGCAAUGGCAGAACGUGUGAGGGGAGCCAGAAGAGUUGCCAUCCUGCAUCACUCUGGUCUGUGUGGGGAUCUGGACUGGCAAGGGUACCUUUGUGUGGUGGACAGAGAUACCCAGAGGGAACAGAGAUGUUGCACGGCAGUAGAAACAGCUGCAGCUCAAAACCAGUGCCCUCUGGUGAACUGACCUAGCUCCCCAGUAGCCUUCCUGCCUGUUUUGAAGCAGCACUGACCCUGGGGGCUAAGCAAGCCUUCUGACAGUCUGUGGGAGGUGGGGAAGUACAUACUGUAAGAGGGAGACACUGGACUUCUUGCUGAGGUAGGCAGGUGGGUACUUGAGGAUUUGGAAAAUUAAAAGGGAUGCAAUUCCAAGCUAUUAAAACAGGCCGUAAGUAUGUAAUGUGUGCUGAGUGCAUUGAAAUGAGAAGUAGGUGCUAUGGAAAUAUCUAACAAGGGGAUUUGAAGUAAUGGGUGUCGUGAGGGAGUAGAGUCAGGGGUGGGAGUAGAAUCAGGGAAGGCUUGAUGAAGUGACAGCUUAGCUAAGAUUCAAAGGAUGACUCCAACUCAGGUGGACAAAGAAAAGAAAGUAUUUUAGAAAGAGUGAAUAUUAUAUGAGAAAACUCAGAAUUGCAAGAAUGAGAUACCUCUGUGGACCAGACAAUUCUGUAUGGCUAGAGCUUGGAAAACAAGGGUACAAAGCCGAGAUGUGAGUCAUAGGACCAGGGACUUGUUGGGACUUCACCCAGCGAGCAGUGAGAAGCCAUGGAAGAGGUGUGAGCAGAGAAGACAUGGUAGAUUUGAGAAUUUAAAUGCCUGUUCUAGCUAAAUUGAAAAUAGACCACAUUGGAGGCAGGAGUGGGUGCAGGGAGACAAGUAGGAGGGUUCUGCCCUAGUCCAGGUUGAACCACAGUCGUGGCAGUGAGGUUGGAUCAAUAAGCUGGAAAAUGUUGUUCUCAUAUUGCUUCCUGCAUCAGAUGGAAAAAACACCUCAAAGAAGUUGAGUGAUUCGUACAAGAUCCUAGAACCAAUAUGUGGGAGCACCAGGUCCAGACCUAGCUUCUGUCACUGGUUUAAAGCUCUAUCCAGAGUACCAGAACUUCUCAAGCUUCUUCUGUGACAUGAGUUUGUCUACAUGGCAGAUGCAUUUCCACACGUGUAUCUGUUUACUCCCUUGCAAGAAAGCAGAUCCCAAAGCACAAGAGUUAGAGAGGGGGGUUAUUACAUAGGCAACGGUGAUUUCACUCUGGUUCAUUAAAAACAGAAAAGGAAUCAUUUGAAAAUGUAUUCACUUACCUCUUAUUAGUAACAAAUCUCUCCCACUCCAGUUGGUGCCUGAGACUUGCACCCAGCUUGAAGCUACUGAUAGCUUCACUUACUCUUGAGAUUGGGAUGGGAGAUAAGGGGAGGAUUUCUUUUUUCUGCUCUAUCUUUAAGGAAUGUUGCUCCAUUUCAUUUUCCCAAAGAGAGUAGGGACAGAAGACUCUGCUGCUCAUUUCUGAGGUGACUAAUGGGUUCUCAGGUCCCAGGUCUGGGACCUUGGUUAUAAAGUUGUUUCUGAGAGGUACGUACGAGGGAGGUAAUGAAAGAAUGCAGAAGGUAAGAUUUUGAUGAGCUGCAUCUGUCAUGACUCUCUGAGGUCAUAGAUUUGCAGAAGUGAUUCUGUUUAGUCAAAGUUCUUUGGGGCAAGACCCUGUAAUUCCUCCUUUAUGGUGAAUUGCCCUUCCCCUCCACUUCUAUCCCCUCUCUCUCUCUCUCCCCACCCCAUUUUUCCUCCUUUCCUCCCUCCCUUCUUCCCUUCUUCCUUCCUCCCCAACCCCCCUCUUUCUUUUAACAAUAGUUCUUGGAUGCUGGAUUCCAUAGUAGAGGGUUUUGUGGUUAAUACCCAAGCUAAUGCACACAUAGGUCAAAGGAAAAAUUAUGACAAUAUUUCACGGCAGAUGAGACUAUAGAAGUUAGACUGUAGACGUAGGAUAACAAUCACCUAAAAGCCCCCCAAUUCUCAAAUAGUGACCAUUCCAAAUUCCUACUGAAUUACUCCCAGAUGCAUUUUCCUUUUCUAUAGGCCAUGUUUAGAUCUUGGGAGGAGCUCACUGGGUGCUGACAAAGGAAUAGUUUUAGAAAGCACCAGAUAGGCCUGCAGGUAUUCUGGCAUGGGCUCAAGGGCCACAGGCAUCCUCUGUCCCAGCUGUCACAAUAGAAUAGGAAUGGGUUGGUGAGCAUGUGACAGGGUGAGGAGGGAGCUGCUGAAAGACCUCAGGGUACCACCAAUCAUGUGCUUUCCCUACCCCCAGAUGGCCUCAUACUUUUUUCCUUUCCUUACCCAACCAGAAGAUUCAGAUUCUUGUGGGAAGGAGGAGGGCUCAGCCCAGCUCAGACCCAGAAUGGAGAAAGGAGGAAUGAGAACUAAAGGAAUCCUCAUAAAGGAUCCUGGCAUCCUCCCACGAGUGAACUCUGACCACAUACUCAUCUGUAUUGCGAAAAUAACACUGAUCUCACGAGGCUAAUGACAUUUUCUUGGCUCAAAGAUCACAGCAAACAAUUUCGGCCACAGGAACAAAACAUUCCUUUAAAAAUAUUCAGUGUAAAGAUUCCAGCUCACUGAAGACUGGAGCCAUUUUUUUUCUGGGGGAAAAAUCAUCAGGAAAAGCCCAAAGCAAUUCAUAAGCCCUGCGUGGACUGAAUUUGAAGCUGGGCAGCUGUAGGGCAGUGAGGCCAAGCAGAGCCUCACAGUGCAGAUACCCAGUCCACUCAGUUACCAUGAAUGAAACUC